UACGAAGGGAGCUAGCGUUGUUCGGAAUUACUGGGCGUAAAGCGCACGUAGGCGGAUUUGUAAGUCAGGGGUGAAAUCCCGGGGCUCAACCUCGGAACUGCCUUUGAUACUGCGAAUCUCGAGUCCGGAAGAGGUGAGUGGAAUUCCUAGUGUAGAGGUGAAAUUCGUAGAUAUUAGGAAGAACACCAGUGGCGAAGGCGGCUCACUGGUCCGGUACUGACGCUGAGGUGCGAAAGCGUGGGGAGCAAAC
rnacentral:rRNA from 1 species